rnacentral:rRNA from 2 species
GGUUGACCUCGGAUCAGGUAGGGAUACCCGCUGAACUUAAGCAUAUCAAUAAGCGGAGGAAAAGAAACCAACAGGGAUUGCCUCAGUAACGGCGAGUGAAGCGGCAAGAGCUCAAAUUUGAAAUCUGGCCCCUCCGGGGUCCGAGUUGUAAUUUGUAGAGGAUGCUUCGGGUGCGGCCCCCGUCUAAGUGCUCUGGAACGGGCCAUCGGAGAGGG